rnacentral:rRNA from 1 species
UACGUAGGUGGCAAGCGUUGCCCGGAUUUAUUGGGCGUAAAGCGAGCGCAGGCGGAAGAAUAAGUCUGAUGUGAAAGCCCUCGGCUUAACCGAGGAACUGCAUCGGAAACUGUUUUUCUUGAGUGCAGAAGAGGAGAGUGGAACUCCAUGUGUAGCGGUGGAAUGCGUAGAUAUAUGGAAGAACACCAGUGGCGAAGGCGGCUCUCUGGUCUGCAACUGACGCUGAGGCUCGAAAGCAUGGGUAGCGAACAGG